rnacentral:rRNA from 1 species
GAUGAACGCUGGCGGCGUGCCUAAUACAUGCAAGUCGAGCGAGCGGACGAGAAGCUUGCUUCUCUGAUGUUAGCGGCGGACGGGUGAGUAACACGUGGAUAACCUACCUAUAAGACUGGGAUAACUUCGGGAAACCGGAGCUAAUACCGGAUAAUAUUUUGAACCGCAUGGUUCAAAAGUGAAAGACGGUCUUGCUGUCACUUAUAGAUGGAUCCGCGCUGCAUUAGCUAGUUGGUAAGGUAACGGCUUACCAAGGCAACGAUGCAUAGCCGACCUGAGAGGGUGAUCGGCCACACUGGAACUGAGACACGGUCCAGACUCCUACGGGAGGCAGCAGUAGGGAAUCUUCCGCAAUGGGCGAAAGCCUGACGGAGCAACGCCGCGUGAGUGAUGAAGGUCUUCGGAUCGUAAAACUCUGUUAUUAGGGAAGAACAUAUGUGUAAGUAACUGUGCACAUCUUGACGGUACCUAAUCAGAAAGCCACGGCUAACUACGUGCCAGCAGCCGCGGUAAUACGUAGGUGGCAAGCGUUAUCCGGAAUUAUUGGGCGUAAAGCGCGCGUAGGCGGUUUUUUAGUCUGAUGUGAAAGCCCACGGCUCAACCGUGGAGGGUCAUUGGAAACUGGAAAACUUGAGUGCAGAAGAGGAAAGUGGAAUUCCAUGUGUAGCGGUGAGAUGCGCAGAGAUAUGGAGGAACACCAGUGGCGAAGGCGACUUUCUGGUCUGUAACUGACGCUGAUGUGCGAAAGCGUGGGGAUCAAACAGGAUUAGAUACCCUGGUAGUCCACGCCGUAAACGAUGAGUGCUAAGUGUUAGGGGGUUUCCGCCCCUUAGUGCUGCAGCUAACGCAUUAAGCACUCCGCCUGGGGAGUACGACCGCAAGGUUGAAACUCAAAGGAAUUGACGGGGACCCGCACAAGCGGUGGAGCAUGUGGUUUAAUUCGAAGCAACGCGAAGAACCUUACCAAAUCUUGACAUCCUUUGACAACUCUAGAGAUAGAGCCUUCCCCUUCGGGGGACAAAGUGACAGGUGGUGCAUGGUUGUCGUCAGCUCGUGUCGUGAGAUGUUGGGUUAAGUCCCGCAACGAGCGCAACCCUUAAGCUUAGUUGCCAUCAUUAAGUUGGGCACUCUAAGUUGACUGCCGGUGACAAACCGGAGGAAGGUGGGGAUGACGUCAAAUCAUCAUGCCCCUUAUGAUUUGGGCUACACACGUGCUACAAUGGACAAUACAAAGGGCAGCGAAACCGCGAGGUCAAGCAAAUCCCAUAAAGUUGUUCUCAGUUCGGAUUGUAGUCUGCAACUCGACUACAUGAAGCUGGAAUCGCUAGUAAUCGUAGAUCAGCAUGCUACGGUGAAUACGUUCCCGGGUCU